AUUGAACGCUGGCGGCAGGCCUAACACAUGCGAGUCGAGCGGAUGAAGGGAGCUUGCUCCUGGAUUCAGCGGCGGACGGGUGAGUAAUGCCUAGGAAUCUGCCUGGUAGUGGGGGAUAACGUCCGGAAACGGGCGCUAAUACCGCAUACGUCCUGAGGGAGAAAGUGGGGGAUCUUCGGACCUCACGCUAUCAGAUGAGACUAGGUCGGAUUAGCUAGUUGGUGGGGUAAAGGCCUACCAAGGCGACGAUCCGUAACUGGUCUGAGAGGAUGAUCAGUCACACUGGAACUGAGACACGGUCCAGACUCCUACGGGAGGCAGCAGUGGGGAAUAUUGGACAAUGGGCGAAAGCCUGAUCCAGCCAUGCCGCGUGUGUGAAGAAGGUCUUCGGAUUGUAAAGCACUUUAAGUUGGGAGGAAGGGCAGUAAGUUAAUACCUUGCUGUUUUGACGUUACCAACAGAAUAAGCACCGGCUAACUUCGUG
rnacentral:rRNA from 1 species